GAGAUGAUGCAAGAUUAUCGCAACGAAAUCAAGGAGUUCUUCACCCUGGACAAGCAGCUGGCGGCUGAGUUGGAGUACGAUAUGAAGAAGUACGAGGAGCAGCUGGAGAGGGAGGCUGAGCAAGACCAGGAGCUGAGCGUGGAUCACGAAGGCCACAACACGCUGGUGGCCAGGCCGCCUUCACAUCCUCGGAAUCAGAUGGACGAGGCCUCCCCGCCUACCCAAAGCAAUUCUCCCCCUCUGCGAUCUCCUCUCUCGCCCCGUGCAAUGUUUAACGUUCCCGGGCCGGGAGCCACGAAACCCAGAGCCAGGUACCCUUCUGGACCUCUCCUCUUUUCAGCCCGUGAGGCGCGAAAAUGCGCUUCAUCUGUUUGCAACGGAGCAUUUAAGUACCGUCUCCGCCACUCGGCGGAGAAUGCUUGAAGCUCCUUGGGUGGGGACAAAAGGGCCAGCCAUAUGCGCUGUUCGUUCUCCUCGUAGGAAUCUGUCCCUGAGUACUUUUGCCAUCCUCAACUCUGCUAAGCAAGCCACCGAGGCCAUGAAGGCAAAGCGCGCCAAGAGCAUGGGGACCGGGUUGGAGUAUCUGCAGAGCAGACAAAACUAUAAAGCUUCCUUUUGCAGUCUGAGCCACCUGUCUUCCGUUGCCAACAGACCCUUGGAAGGCCGCGCGGUCAGUACUCCUGAACAGUCCAUUAACGACGUGACCUUCGGAGCCGGAGUCAGCCAAAUUAGCCUGAACCUCACAGGAUCUUCUUCUAAAGGCAGGUGGAACCCCAAUUUCGUUCUCGCCUUUCUUUUUUUUGAAAAACUAAGCGUGGGCAAGGCAACUCGCUCUAAUACCCCUUCCGUUCCUCCUGCAGUCAAAGAGGAACCAGAAGCUUCACAGAAGCAGAUCCUUUGCUUGACCUCCCCGGAUAAACUGCUGCCCCAGCCUCCACCAUGGAGGGUGAAUUCUCCAAGAAGCAGCAGUCUGCGGAGAUCUAGCCGUAAAACAUCCCAACAGCCAACGAAAUGA
rnacentral:lncRNA from 1 species